AAAAAAAAAAAAAAAAAUCUGAAACUCAGAGAAGAUUAAGGAGGACCAAAAGAAAAGGCGAAAACGAGGAAUCUCCCAAUAAGCAUGAGUUGGUAAGAUUACACCAAUUAAAAGAUUCCAAAGUGAUAUUCUUUCUAAAGCUUCCUUGUAUUUCUCAGCAACCAAACAAGCAAUGGUUAAGAAAUCAAGAGCUAGGUUAAGGCAAAUACCU
rnacentral:misc_RNA from 1 species